UUACCGUUUCAGGAGUAACCAACCACUUCUCAAUUGGACCAUACUCCAGAGGAGGCAAUCCAUAGCUGAUACUGUAAUCCUGGUGCAGUGGUUUGAAUGAGAAUUACUCCUAUAAACAAGUAUGUUAAACACUUGUCCCCAGUGGGUGGGACUGUUCCAGAAUAAUCGUGAGGUGUGGCCUUGUCGGAGGAGUGUGCCACUGGACAAGUUUUGAGGUCUCAAAAGACUCUCGCCAUUCUCAGCGUUCAUCCCUCUGCCUCCUACUUUUGGAUCAAGAUACUCCACAGAGUGGUGAAGCUCCCAGUCUUAGAGAAGAGAACAUCAUGGAAGAGGGAGUAGAGAAACUAAAAGCAGAGGACGGAGCGGAAUACUGUAAAAUGUGGUUCCUGGUGUCUUCUUUAGGCUUCCAUUGCUGUGAGCAGACACCAUGACAAAGACAACUCUUAUAAAGGACAACAUUUAAUUGAACUGGC